GUCAGGUGCGGUGGUGCGGUAGUCCCAGCUACUUGGGAGGCUGAGGCAAGAGGAUCGCUUGAGCCCAGGAGUUCUGGGCUGUAGUGUGCUAUGCUAUGCCAACUGGGUAUCUGCACUAAGUUCUUCAUCAAUAUGGUGACCUCUUGGGAGUGGGGUCCACCAGGUUGCCUAAGGAGGGAUGAACCGGCCCAGGUCAGAAACAGAACAGAUCAAAAUUCCUGUGCUGAUCAAAUGAUUUUCCACAUAAAAUACUAUGGUCUAUAAGAUGAAAAUGAAGCAGACACACGCUGCUUGAGCCACUAUUUUAGGAAUUGCCUCUG
rfam:Nomascus leucogenys chromosome 6, whole genome shotgun sequence.